GAUGAACGCUGGCGGCGUGCCUAAUACAUGCAAGUCGAGCGAACAGACGAGGAGCUUGCUCCUCUGACGUUAGCGGCGGACGGGUGAGUAACACGUGGAUAACCUACCUAUAAGACUGGGAUAACUUCGGGAAACCGGAGCUAAUACCGGAUAAUAUAUUGAACCGCAUGGUUCAAUAGUGAAAGACGGUUUUGCUGUCACUUAUAGAUGGAUCCGCGCCGCAUUAGCUAGUUGGUAAGGUAACGGCUUACCAAGGCAACGAUGCGUAGCCGACCUGAGAGGGUGAUCGGCCACACUGGAACUGAGACACGGUCCAGACUCCUACGGGAGGCAGCAGUAGGGAAUCUUCCGCAAGGGGCGAAAGCUUGACGGAGCAACGCCGCGUGAGUGAUGAAGGUCUUCGGAUCGUAAAACUCUGUUAUUAGGGAAGAACAAAUGUGUAAGUAACUAUGCACGUCUUGACGGUACCUAAGCAGAAAGCCACGGCUAACUACGU
rnacentral:rRNA from 1 species